GAGUGGGGUUUUGACCCUAACC
rnacentral:miRNA from 1 species